GAUGAACGCUGGCGGCGUGCCUAAUACAUGCAAGUCGAGCGAACAGACGAGGAGCUUGCUCCUCUGACGUAAGCGGCGGACGGGUGAGUAACACGUGGAUAACCUACCUAUAAGACUGGGAUAACUUCGGGAAACCGGAGCUAAACCCGGAUAAUAUAUUGAACCGCAUGGUUCAAUAGUGAAAGACGGUUUUGCUGUCACUUAUAGAUGGAUCCGCGCCGCAUUAGCUAGUUGGUAAGGUAACGGCUUACCAAGGCAACGAGGCGUAGCCGACCUGAGAGAGUGAGUGGCCGGCCUGGAGCUGACACACGGUCCGGACUCCUGCGGGAGGCAGCAGUAGGGGAUGUGCCGCACUGGGCGAGAGCCUGACGGAGCAACGCAGGGUGAGUGAUGAAGGUCUUCGGAUCGUAAAACUCUGUUAUUAGGGAGGAACAAAUGUGUAAGUAACUAUGCACGUCUUGACGGCACCUGAGCAGAAAGCCACGGCUAACUACGUG
rnacentral:rRNA from 1 species